rfam:Cavia porcellus supercont2_126 genomic scaffold, whole genome shotgun sequence.
GUCUACCGCCAUACUACCCUGAAUGUGCCUGAUCUCAUUUCAUCUCAGAAGCUAAGCAGGGUCGGGCCUGGUUAGUACUAGGAUGGGAGACUUCUUGGCACCACUGGGAAAGUGGCGGCUC